UACGUAGGGGGCAAGCGUUAUCCGGAUUUACUGGGUGUAAAGGGAGCGCAGGCGGCGCGUUAAGCCUGGUGUGAAAGCCCGCGGCCCAACCGCGGGACUGCAUUGGGAACUGGCGCGCUGGAGUGCCGGAGGGGUAGGCGGAAUUCCUAGUGUAGCGGUGAAAUGCGUAGAUAUUAGGAGGAACACCAGUGGCGAAGGCGGCCAACUGGACGGUGACUGACGCUGAGGCUCGAAAGCGUGGGGAGCAAACAGG
rnacentral:rRNA from 1 species